UAAUGUCCGGGAAACUGCCUGAUGGAGGGGGAUAACUACUGGAAACGGUAGCUAAUACCGCAUAACGUCGCAAGACCAAANAGGGGGACCUUCGGGCCUCUUGCCAUCGGAUGUGCCCAGAUGGGAUUAGCUAGUAGGUGAGGUAACGGCUCACCUAGGCGACGAUCCCUAGCUGGUCUGAGAGGAUGACCAGCCACACUGGAACUGAGACACGGUCCAGACUCCUACGGGAGGCAGCAUG
rnacentral:rRNA from 1 species